UACGGGAGAGGAAAGCGGAAUGCCUGGUGUAGAGGUGAAAUGCGUAGAUAUCAGGAGGAACACCGAUNGCGAAGGCAGCUUNCUGGACCGAUACUGACGCUCAGGCGCGAAGGUGUGGGUAGCGAACGGGAUUAGAUACCCCGGUAGUCCACACNGUAAACGAUGUUCACUAGGUGUGUCGGAUAUUAAAAUCUGAUGUGCCCAAGCUAACGCAUUAAGUGAACCGCCUGGGGAGUACGGUC
rnacentral:rRNA from 1 species